AGCAGAGGUGGUGGUGGUGGCGGGUUGGGCGUUAGGCCCUGGGACGCUUCAGAAGCUUCAUGAGCGUUGGGUUUCUCUGCCUGCGCCUGAACUGAGCUGGUUCCCUCUGCAGCACUCACACCCCACUCGGGCUCAUAGGGUAGAAGAGACCUUGGAGACAAGAUAGUCCCCCUUCCUUAGCCAUGUCCUCAUUCUUUUCUGAGCUCGGAUUCUGGGGCUUUGGUGCUUUCCCAAAUCCUGUCAAUCCCCAGGCAAAAAAAACAAACAAAAAACAAAACAAAACAAAAAAACCUCCACAAACCAACAGUUGCCUUGAAGUUUGUAAGUGACUUGGAGGAAACGCAUCCCAGCUGGAAAUCCUGGGGCAGGACACGACAAUCCUGGCGGGGGCUCAUUCACCGCGUCCAGGCCAGUCCCUCGUGCACCCCGGGAGACCACCAGGCAGCAGAAGACACUCCAGUGAGGGGUAAGGAGGCCACCGCAAGGUGUACCAGUUCCCACGGGCGCCCACAGACUGGCGCCCCUGCAGCAGACCUGAGAAAGGAAGGUGUGUGUGUGUGUGUGUGUGUGUGUAAAACCAGUUUUAAGAAUAAGAUUUUCCUCUGCAGGAGAUGAAAAUUUUAAAAAGCUGGAAUGUUCAGUCCAGGGCGAGGGAGUGGGGGAAGACAAGCUGCUUUUGCUGCUUGGGUAAUAUUUGUCUAACUGACGCUUAAGUAUGAUAAAGAUACAACGGUUCCGUUCCCAAGGUAAAGUUCGUCAGGAUUUAGUUAUUGGUUACUGGAAACUAUGAAAACCGUGUGCAAAAAGCUGUAAGAUCAACAGGCAAUCCGAAAUCCACAGAACCAAUGUCACACAGCACAAGUGGAUCCUCCUCCUAGGAGCCUGUCCCACAACACAAAAGCUAUUUAAAAAUAACAUGAUUUUAGGUCUUCUCAGCCAAAAUCCUUGUGGAGGGUGUUAACUGUCGAGUGAGAGUGAGGACCCUCCUGCUCUCCGCUGACGGGGCCUCUGCCUAGUUUUAAGAUGACCACCGUCCAUCCCCCACACCGCGAGGGUCCACUUACGAGAAAUCAUCUAGAGUAAGGCAGUCGGAGGAGCAGCACCAAGAUACCGGGCAUUAACCACCACCUCUGGCCUCUUCUGGUGUGUGGUGCAUGGACAUCCAGAAGGCAAAUGGGUUUGUAGGAGCUCACAGACCCUCUUCCACCCGCCCUUCUGCAUUUCCAUGGGAACCUGGCACGGAGGUCCCGAGUAAGACCCCCACCUUCAAUAAGCGGGCAGUUGGCUGCGUAGCACUGCAGGAAGGUGUGCCUCUGAAACUCUUGGUAAAGAGUUAAGUGGUAGAGUUGACUUAAUGAGCUUAUAGACGUGUCAGAAGCCUACCCAGCUCUGGCUAGCUGUACGAAAUGCAUCCACUUCGAAGGUUUGAGCAAAUACGGAAGGCCCCUGGCUUUAAGAGAAAAACAGAUUUACAUUCCUCCCUGUCUCAGCAGGAAACCUGAAAUCAAAGACAACCAACAAAUCAACACAUGCUUAUCUGUCAGUGCACUCGUCCCAGAUUGUAAUUAGACAUGUAUUUGUGUGGGAUCGAUGCUCGUCUCCUCACUACAUUGUAUACCGCAGAGAGAGUCUGUCCCCAUCACCCUUGAAUCUUUGGGUAAAGGCGGUGCCUGGCACACCACGGGGUGCCCUCCAAACGUUUGUGGAGAGGAGGACGGGAAGGAGGGAAGGAAGAGAGGCAGGGGGCAGGAGGAGCAAGGAGGGAGGCCGCGAGGGAGGCUGUCACAGGUAUUCUUUACAACCUCCCUGUCCUGGGGCAUGCAAGUUCCUGUGUAAUCGCUCCCCGUAUGCAAAAUGGGGAGAAUAACAGUACUUACCUCAAUUGCUACCUCAUAACUCAUAUAUAUAUGUAUAUAUAUAAAGUUUGUAAGUGACUUACAAAUACAUAUACAUACAUACAUAAAUACAUAUAUGUAUUUAGGUCAUUAAAUAUAUUUUUAUUUUAUAUAUAAAUAUUUAAUAUUUAUAUUAAUAUUAAAUAUAAAUUCAUAUAUAUUUUUAAGUCAUUUUAUGUGUCAGACAAGAGAGGCCCCAGCCCUGGACCCCAUGCUCGAAGGUCCCACUCUUGCUGCCCUCUGGCUGUGCCUCUCCCCAUAAUGUGAGGUCACAAUGGGACCUUGUGCCCAGAGGUGUCUAUGUGGACCUCUCCCCUGACAGUCCCUUAGGCCUUCCACCGAAAAUGUGUGCACAGGCCCAAGGUGUGUCUAAGGGAGUGGCCGUUUGCAGGGGACAGGUGUGGAUGGGCCUGGGGUGUCUACACAUGUGUGCCGGAGAACCCCUUGUGGUGUGGGGUGGAGCCUGACCACGGGGCAGAAGAGGGGUGGGAGAUGCGGAUCCUGGCCACAGCUACCUCUCCCCACUUGCUCAGGCUCCACGGCAGGACCCCAUGGAGGCUGAGAGUUCUGGAUUCUAACCUGGCCUUCCAGUUCAUUAUGAAGUUCUAUUUGUCUAGGAUUUCAUAUUUCAAGCUGAACUCCUUAAUCCCCCUGGACCUCACUAGAGUCUAUGCUGUGAAGCAGGGAAAGGUCCAGUUUUCAUACAGUGCUUCAAAACAGCCGGGCAUCUCAGCUGCAUCUCAGGACGAUUCCUGCCCCCACUCAUGUGCGUCUCUACUCUUGUCACAUAGAAGAAGAAAGGGCAUCUCCUUUCUGAAGAUCAGUGAGCUUCCAGGCUCCUUGGAUUCCUGUGUAUCUGAGAGAUUUUCAAAUUACCUCCUCUUGUUCCUACUUCUUUGUGAUAUUGCAGAAUGGUUAUUACUGAUUAUUAACUAAAUGAUGUUUAAAUUUUAGAAGUCAAGCGACUUUUAAAGGCCCAUUUUAUAAAAUUUAUGGAACUUCCUCUCUCUUUACUCUCAUAAUUCCAAAAGCUUUAAUAAAUAUCAAUGUGUGCUAGGAUUCGCUUUAGGUUUUUUUUUUCCUCCUACUUACAGCAGGAUAGGUGCUUUUAUUUUAUUAAGCCUUUUAGCACUAUUUAACUUUUAAACUAACCAUGUAUUACUUUUAAAGACUAAUUGAAUAAAGAUGUAUGUUUAGAACUUGAAACAUGGGGAACCAUGAAAAUAAAAUGUGGCCCACUACUUAAAUAGCCAAGUGUGAAAAUUCUGAUGUCUUGCUUUCCAGCCUAUUCAUUUGCUUCUGCUGAUGCUUC